rnacentral:rRNA from 1 species
CCUGAUGCAGCGACGCCGCGUGGGGGAUGAAGGCCUUCGGGUUGUAAACUCCUUUCGCUCGUGACGAAGCCUUUGGGUGACGGUAGCGGGAGAAGAAGCACCGGCUAACUACGUGCCAGCAGCCGCGGUAAUACGUAGGGUGCGAGCGUUGUCCGGAAUUAUUGGGCGUAAAGAGCUUGUAGGCGGUUUGUCGCGUCUGCUGUGAAAGCCCGGGGCUUAACUCCGGGUCUGCAGUGGGUACGGGCAGGCUAGAGUGUGGUAGGGGAGACUGGAAUUCCUGGUGUAGCGGUGAAAUGCGCAGAUAUCAGGAGGAACACCGAUGGCGAAGGCAGGUCUCUGGGCCAUUACUGACGCUGAGAAGCGAAAGCAUGGGGAGCAAACAGGAUUAGAUACCCUGGUAGUCCAUGCCGUAAACGUUGGGCGCUAGGUGUGGGCCUCAUUCCACGAGGUCUGUGCCGUAGCUAACGCAUUAAGCGCCCCGCCUGGGGAGUACGGCCGCAAGGCUAAAACUCAAAGGAAUUGACGGGGGCCCGCACAAGCGGCGGAGCAUGCGGAUUAAUUCGAUGCAACGCGAAGAACCUUACCAAGGCUUGACAUACACCAGAUCGCAGCAGAGAUGUUGUUUCCUUUUGGUUG